AGCCAACUGUUAAUAUUGAAUAUGCUUCGAAAUUUGUGACUAAGGUGAAGACUCGAUUUGAACGUGCUCAUCAGCAUCAUGUUUAUCCAUUGUUUCUGAGCAUCCUGAAUUCAUAUAGAGAAAACAAAAGGAGUCUUGAUGAUGUCAUUAGGGAUGUUAAUUUUCUUUUCGAAGGCCAUGAUGAUCUGAUUGACGACUUUACUAAUUUUCUUCCUUGAUUGGGCUGGUGAUAUGCAUGAGUUUUAUUCAAGAAAAAAUAAAUAUUGCAAAUGUUAAAAUCUAGGGUUUGAAUAUGGAGAUAAAAUAUGGUCUUAGAUACAAUUUUAAUGUUUGUAAUUUGCA